GGCGGUCUAGUGGGUAGAGAAUACGCCUGGAAUGCGGAAGGUUUCGGGUUCAAACCCCGGCUGAGUCA